CUGUUCUCAGGUGCAAGGUCUGCUCUCCAUGGUGGCUGACCUCGGGGAGGAGGUGGAGACUAAGAAGCAUCAGGGUGUGUGAGGAGGUGAUGGACUGGUGGAGUAACUCCCUGGUGUGCCAGAGGGAUGCAGCCCAGAGGAUGGUAGAGCCCCUGCCCCGUCGCUGUUGGGCAGAGGGAGGGGACUAAUAAGAUGAGGAGGGUUGGAAGGGAGUCCCAGUUUGGCACCAUGGGCAACCACCCUCCCUACCUACCUAGUUUCCCCAGGUGCCCCUGCAUAAUAGGUUUGAGACCCUGGAUCUUGAAGGAGAGGGUAUUGAUGUUACAUAAACAUGAAAUAUUGAGAGUGGAGUCACAGACGGUGGAUGAACUAGCCUGAAGAGAUCUUUGGAAGUCGGAGGAGUAGCUGGAUAUCUCAAGGACACCCAUUACCUGAAGGGUGAUGAGUGCCAGUACAGCUCACAGUUAUUUUUAUCAUAAUACUUGAUGCAUAAAAAUUCUUAUGUCAUUUUUUAUUAAAAUAUAAACAAAUAGAUAAAUAAGGCAGUUGCUGUAUGAGUAAAAGUCCCAAAUACUUACUAUGAAUUACUAUUACAGUGCUAGAUGACCCAACAAUACAAUCUUGUGUGCUGAGAAACAGAAUAAAGCCAUGAACUCUAAAGGUCCAGUAUUUUGGGGGAGAAAGUAGUACUUUGAAGGUCAAAAGUCAUCAUUACAUAAGGUCAUAUAGCAUUUUUCUAUUUCUAUAUUUUUCUAUUUUUCUAAAUUGAAGUGGACACUAGUUUUUAGAAGUAGCUCGCUAAGAAGUAAGACCUAUCAUGCAACAACUUUACUUGAUGUAAAAUGUAUAGUUUGAACUGAAUAUAAAGAACAAGAAAAUUUGCUUCCCCCCAUUCUACCAAGAGUAUCCCAGCCAGCAUUUCCUUCAGAUGAGUUUUUCAAGUCUUUUUGGUGCUGCAGAUUUCAGGUUUGUGAAAAAGUUUACUAGGUCAUUUCAGUACAAGUUAAAAAUUCUCAAGUCCUAUAUUCACAGACGGAGUCAUGUAUCACUGUAAUUUUAG
rnacentral:lncRNA from 1 species